AUUGAACGCUGGCGGCAUGCUUUACACAUGCAAGUCGGACGGCAGCACAGAGAAGCUUGCUUCUUGGGUGGCGAGUGGCGAACGGGUGAGUAAUAUAUCGGAACGUACCGAGUAAUGGGGGAUAACUAAUCGAAAGAUUAGCUAAUACCGCAUAUUCUCUGAGGAGGAAAGCAGGGGACCUUCGGGCCUUGCGUUAUUCGAGCGGCCGAUAUCUGAUUAGCUAGUUGGUGGGGUAAAGGCCUACCAAGGCGACGAUCAGUAGCGGGUCUGAGAGGAUGAUCCGCCACACUGGGACUGAGACACGGCCCAGACUCCUACGGGAGGCAGCAGUGGGGAAUGUUGGACAAUGGGCGCAAGCCUGAUCCAGCCAUGCCGCGUGUCUGAAGAAGGCCUUCGGGUUGUAAAGGACUUUUGUCAGGGAAGAAAAGGCUGUUGCUAAUACCGACAGCUGAUGACGGUACCUGAAGAAUAAGCACCGGCUAACUACGUG
rnacentral:rRNA from 1 species